rnacentral:rRNA from 1 species
AGCAGCCGCGGUAAUUCCAGCUCCAAUAGCGUAUAUUAAAGUUGUUGCAGUUAAAAAGCUCGUAGUUGAAUUUCGGGAUCAUCAGGUUGGACGUGCCUCUGGUAUGUACUUUCCUCGAUGGUUCCUCCUUCUUGAAGAACCGUAAUGCCAUUAAUUUGGUGUUGCGGGGAAACAGGACUGUUACUUUGAAAAAAUUAGAGUGUUUAAAGCAGGCAAUCGCUUGAAUACAUUAGCAUGGAAUAAUGAAAUAGGACGUUCGAUCCUAUUUUGUUGGUUUCUAGGAUUGACGUAAUGAUUAAUAGGGAUAGUUGGGGGCAUUAGUAUUCAAUUGUCAGAGGUGAAAUUCUUGGAUUUAU